rnacentral:lncRNA from 1 species
GAGGAAUUAGGAAAAUCUAUGCUAGGAUUAAUUUUCCUACUUAAGUCUGGAGCAGUUAUUUACAUAGUAUUGUCAGGGGCAAAAGAAAGCAUUCUACUCCUUUUGAUAUUUCAGUUUUUUUCUACAACAUAUUGCAGUCCUGGCUCAAUGCACAAAAGAACUGUGGAAGUGAUAAGACUGAUAUAACACUGAUGCUAUGAGGGGGAUUAGGAAAGUGUUGUAUUAGGCGAAAUACGGGGAUGUUAUCGGGCUGUGACGUGACAGGCCCUUCCCCAUAUUCUGGAAGAAUCUUGCUACGUGUAAUACAGUAGGCGUAGAGAAGUGAAACAUAAGGUUAUAUAAGGUCGUGUGUGCUUCAAUAAAUCGCCAUUUUACCACGCUACCACCUUGGUGUCACUUUGGUAAUUGGUCUAACUACUGCUUCAGUUGGGAGGCGAGAGAUCGUAAAGCCAUUAACGAUCAUAAGCCUUCAAAAUGGUGACGCGCCGACGUGAUUUCGUCACGAUUAGGCGUGAUUAGGGACUUUUGGAGCAAGGUAGUUGUCUGCUAAACCGCAGCAGGAUCCACUGCGGGUAGUAAUCCUCUCGUCGCGGAGUAGUGGAAGCCCAGGGUCGAAGAGGAGUGGCCAUCACUCUUCGACAGGUGGGAGAGCGAGCUCGGAAUCCCGGAAUCUCGGAAUCUCGGGGACCCCCCAGGAACCUUCGGGGAAGCGCCAGGGAGCGGCCAGGAGAACUACGUUCGGCCGGGGCGACAUGGAAGCCGUUAUCAAGGACCUCUUGAUCGGCCGCCCAAGGAAUCCUGACUGGUGGAGCGCAGAAGAAGAUCUUUCAUCUGGAUACCGAAAGAAAUUCUUGAGACUCAAGAACCCAAAGGACCCAGAGAAACAACCCCUGCUGCCAACGAGAGACACCAUUUUGAUGCUGCUAUGUCUUUUGUCUUUAUGUUGGUCGCCGGUGGGGGGUGUUCACUUGAUCCCAACAACCUGGGAAUCUGUGGGUUACUUGGGCGAAACAACAGGCAGGACGGAUUUCUGUCUUAGCCUGCAAUCAACCACCUCGCCAUUUCAAACAUGUUUAAUUGGGAUUCCUAUAUGGGGAACUCCUCUGAGUUUCAGGGAUACGUAGAUCAUAUAAUCCCAUACAAGAUCCAUGCAGAGAAUUCUGUGCACUAACAGCUAUAACAUCACACGCAGAGAUUUAGGGAAUGACACUGUAAUCCUUGUGAAACAAGGUCCGUGAAACAGGCUAAACAUGACUUCCACACUGCUGAGUGAGCUACUUGAAGACACUGACAGUAUUAGACAUGCUAUGCUUCAAAACAGAGCAGCAAUUGAUUUCUUGCUUCUCGCACAGGGUCAUGGUUGUAAAGACUUUGAUGGGAUGUGUUGUUUUAACUUGAGUGAUCAUAGUAAGUCGUUGCACGAGAAGCAGGAGGUGAAGAGGCUGAAGAAGAGGAGGAAGGUGCUAAGGAAGAAUCAGAAGAAGGCAAAGAAGGUGAAGAGGAAGAUGGAGAGAUAUUGUUGCGUAUUGUAACGGGUUAAGCCUUUUAAGCAUGGGGAGGGGGAAAUGUUGUAUUAGGCGAAAUACGGGGAUGUUAUCGGGCUGUGACUGACAGGCUCCUUCCCAAUUAUUUGGAAGAAUCUUGCUACGUGUAAUACAGUAGGCGUAGACGAAGUGGACAAAGGUUAUAUAAGGUCGUGUGUGCUUCAAUAAAUCGCCAUUUUACCACGCUACCA